rnacentral:piRNA from 1 species
UCACGCUGUAAUGUUACUGCAGAAGGAAU